rnacentral:rRNA from 1 species
GUCCAGACUCCUACGGGAGGCAGCAGUGGGGAAUAUUGCACAAUGGGCGAAAGCCUGAUGCAGCAACGCCGCGUGAAGGAAGAAGGGUUUCGGCUCGUAAACUUCUAUCAACAGGGACGAAAGAAAUGACGGUACCUGAAUAAGAAGCCCCGGCUAACUACGUGCCAGCAGCCGCGGUAAUACGUAGGUGGCAAGCGUUAUCCGGAUUUACUGGGUGUAAAGGGCGUGUAGGCGGGAUGGUAAGUCAGAUGUGAAAACUAUGGGCUCAACCCAUAGCCUGCAUUUGAAACUAUCGUUCUUGAGUGUUGGAGAGGCAGGCGGAAUUCCGUGUGUAGCGGUGAAAUGCGUAGAUAUACGGAGGAACGCCAGUGGCGAAGGCGGCCUGCUGGACAAUAACUGACGCUGAGGCGCGAAAGCGUGGGGAGCAAACAGGAUUAGAUACCCUUGUA